GGGGCCGUGAGCGGCCUGCCGUAGGGGGAGGAGUCUGCCUACGCCAGCGGAGUGGAGCUAGAUGAUCAGAAAGGUCCCUUCCGACUCGAGCCGCUCUACGGAUCUGCGCCACUGCCCCUCCGAAUUGUAGGCACAGAGUGAUGGCAGCGGGGCUUUAUCGUCUAUCGCUGCAUGUGACGCUCACAAGUUUCCGCAAGUGUAAUGGCAAGGUAGAAGAAACAUCCCUUAAUGCUUGACGGAAUAGAGGUGUACUGAUAAAGAAUCAGACCUGAUCGUUUUGUGUGAUGUAUAUCUCUAUCUCUGUAUCUAUGAACUGCCAGACUACUUCGGCUCCUCCGAAACCUUCUGCGCUCUCGGUCUCUCGCAGACCAGUCAUGAGGUGCCGUUCCAUCAGCAGACGUUGGAAAGCAUUAAGUUCCAGGAAGGCAGCCACCCGGAGAAAAGCGUCCCUCCGCUCCCAGGAGAGAAAAUAAAUUAUUGAGGACAUUUGUAAAGAAAGGAUGCUGUUUUAUAGUAGGGCGCUAGCCACGCAAAGCGACUUCUACUGCAACGAGUGCCUGUUUCGGAGCCAAAGGUGUGAAUAAGAAGCUAUUUCUGUAAUUACUUCACUAUCUACCUAUAUAAAAAAAAGCUGCUACUUUUAUUCAUCACUGCCACCACACUUGGUCUGCUGACUGACUGAGACCACAAGAGCUUGAAGACCACUGGGUCAGGAAAGCUCUGUGGACUUACGGGCAGGGAAGAGAAGGCUACUGAACUUUUCCGCCCUCCAUUCAAUCUAGACCUGAGGAAAACAGCAAAUGCUUCGCUCUCAAACCUGUUUUUUGUGUGUGGCUUUUGUUUUUUAUUUUAAAUCCUACAAUAAGAGCAUCGCUCAAAUCCCCACACUGGGUCUUCGUAGCCUAGGCGACUGACUGGACUUUUUCCAUAUGUACAUGCAAGCAGCUUUUAGGGAAAGACUCAGUGAAACCUCCCUGCCAAAACGGUUCUUUUCCAUUCUGACUCCCAAGGCAGUCAUGUCCCUUCCCUUACUGACCUUCCUGUUUUAGGAGACACCCCCAAACUCACAACCUAUCAGCACGACGGAGGGGCUGCCAGCGUUAGGGCCAGCUGAGAAUUCAGGGAACUCUGAACGCCCGCUGUCAUCCGAGGGAUCAUUUAUGACACGGCUGCCGGGUAUCUGAGCGGGAUGCUGAACCCUACAAGGAAACACUAGUACUCAUUUACAAACAGAACUCAGCGCUUUUAUUCAUUGAUUGACUUCCUGCCAGUUUUUGUUCUUGAAUAUUUGCUAUCACCAGAGAAGAGCGUAAAAACACAGUACAACGUUAUGAACCAGUUAGGAAGGCUGGAAGGGAAAGCAGAUCCCAGUACAAUUGCGAGUAACUUGGCAGAGUUCAUAAUUUAAGAUUUUUGCAUGGAUCAGCAAUGAAGCGAUAAAUAUGCUGCCGCACUGAACCAAGGACUUUCACUAAAUGUGUGGUUUAUUGCAUUACAUUUUAUAACGGAACGCAUCCAUCGUCAUACAUUUGUUCACCAACAAGGCAAAUGACACUUUUUCAUAUGUUAUGUGCUAAAUGGCUAAAAUUAUGCAGUAGCUGAACCAGGCUAGAACUAGCAGAGGUAGAUAUUGAAUGGGCAGUGCCAGGCAGAAAUAUCUUGUUGAAGUACUUUUUGCCUUUUGUUAUGAACAAUUAGCAGAUGUAACAUUUUCAAUUAAAACAACAAACAUCUUGGGGACGCUA